CUUUCAUCUGUUGCUCCACCAUAUUUUUUUUGCAUAUGAAUUUAAUUUAUUGUAAACGACUAUAUAUUCUAGACAGGUUCAAUCACAUACUGCUGAAAAAAAGACCCCCAAAUAGUCCACUCCCAGAGACGCUGCAAUUCUACAAAAUUAGAGUAUAUUAGUGUCAAAGCCUUCUGUACUACAGGUAGAUAACAUAAAUCUAUAUUUCAACCUUUAUUUAACAAGGCAAGUCGGUUAAGAAUAAAUUCUUAUUUUCAAUGAAGGCCAAACUUUCAAACGACGCUGGGCCAAUUGUGCGCUGCCUUAUGGGACUCCCAAUCACGGCCGGAUGUGAUACAGCCUCGAUUCGAACCUGGGACUGUAGUAACGCAUCUUGCCUGAGAUGCAGUGCCCUAGACCGCUGCGCCACUCGGGAGCCCAGAAAUAAACUAUAUAUCCUUCAAAUCAAAUUUUAUUGGUCACAUACACGUGAUUAGCAGAUGUUAUUACGGGUGUAGCGAAAUGCUUGUUAUUUUAGCUCCGGCAGUGCAGUAAUACACAAAAAUCUAGGUAGGAAUGAAUUAAGACUAUAUACAUAAAACUAUGUACAUAUGAACUAUAUACAUAAUUGUAACUAGUUAUUUAUUAUUCAUCAAGGUCCAUAAUAACUUUUGCACAGAUGAACUCAUAUUAUGUUGGUCUGUGCUUUGGCUCCCUCUAGUGGAGUGUUUCUAAAUUAUUAACCCGGAAAUGAUUCUGUCAAACGUGUGAAAGAAGCUAGUUCGUUGGCAAACUAAAAACGAACAGCAAGAUUUGGAGGGAAAAUAAGCGACAGGGUAACGUUAAUAGAAGGCUCUCUGUACCACCAUGGGUACAUCCAAACAGAUCGGGAACCACAACGGUACCAGGAAGAAGAGUAUUAGCAAGACAUGGAAGACAAAGCGAUAUAUGACCAAAUCCAUGCAGACAUGAAGACCUUCAACAAAAACCAAGUUGCUCAAAAAAAGAAGAUGGACUAUGUCACUGGUUGUGGCCAGCAUUACUGUCUACAGUCGUGGCCAAAGGUUUUGAGAAUGACACAAAUAUACAUUUCCACAAAAUUUGCUGCUUCAAUGUCUUUAGAUAUGUUUGUCAGAUGUUACUAUGGAAUACUGAAGUAUAAUUACAAGCAUUUCAUAAGUGUCAAAGGCUUUUAUUGAGUGAGCUCCAGCCUUGUACUCGUCAACACUCAUACCUGUGUUAAUGAGAGAAUCACUGACAUGAUGUCAGCUGGUCCUUUUGUGGCAGGGCUGAAAUGCAGUGUGUAAAUGUUUUGGGGGGAUUCAGUUCAUUUGCAUGGCAAAGAGGGACUUUGCAAUUCAUUUGAUCACUCUUCAUAACAUUCUAGAGUAUAUGCAAAUUGCCAUCAUACAAACUGAGGCAGCAGACUUUGUGAAAAUGAAUAUUUGUGUCAUUUUCAACUUUUGGCCACGACUGUACGUUGCGCUUUCUUGCAGCUAUUCAAAUUGUUAACUGGAAACAUUUCGGCUACUGGAAACUAAAAGCCGUAGUUGAAUGUGCAUUUGUUUUGAUUGCAGAUUAUAUUUUGUUGAUCUGAAAGAGCACUUUAAAACCAACGUGCACAAGAAAAAUAGUAAGAUCCCCACUAUUUUUGUUUGAAGCAGUCCAUUGUUCCUGUGACGAGCCUUCCUCCACAGCACCCGAGUAUUACAACUUAGAUGUUUAUUUUGAUGACUGAGUAUCUGCAUUUCUUCCGUCUCUCCCCCACUCUGUUCAGGAUUAAGCUGUUGAAGGAGGAACCUUGCACUCAGGCAGAAGCAGAGAGAGCUGCAGGUAUGGGAUCUUACAUACCCCACAAAACUGUAGCGGUGGAAGAGAAGAUGGACUGAAUGUGGACUGCCUUUCUUUGACCAUUACUUUCACCCAGGUUCCAGAACACCUUUUUCGUGGCUCUGCGCUACGGACAUUGCUUUGCAUUACAUAUGUAUAGAUGUUUUUAUACAAUCAAUGUAAAUGUCACAUGUGGAGCAAACAAUUAAAAGGAAAUGUGGUGAUUGGCUGGAUGCCAGUUUCUAUUUUAGCCAGAUUUAUAAUUUUGUCAUGCUUGCAGCAGGCUGGCAACUCUGUCUAAUGACAAAUUAUGAAAUAUUGUUAGAAUCGGAUUUCAAUGCCUGUGCAACCCAACAACAUUGAAUAUAGCGCUGAAUUUACAAUUAAAUAUAUAGGAUAGAGCUACUCAUAUUACUUGAGAUUGUAACUUGAGCUGAAAUGCAAUUGUAAAGCACAGUUUGUGCUCCUACAAUUCACUGUUGAUCUUAAAUGCAAUUAAAGUACCAGUCAGCAUCG